UACGUAGGUGGCAAGCGUUGUUCGGAUUCAUUGGGCGUAAAGCGCGCGCAGGCGGUCCCUUAAGUCUGAUGUGAAAGCCCACGGCUCAACCGUGGAGGGUCAUUGGAAACUGGGGGACUUGAGUACAGAAGAGAAGAGUGGAAUUCCAUGUGUAGCGGUGAAAUGCGUAGAGAUGUGGAGGAACACCAGUGGCGAAGGCGACUCUUUGGUCUGUAACUGACGCUGAGGCGCGAAAGCGUGGGGAGCAAACAGG
rnacentral:rRNA from 1 species